rnacentral:snoRNA from 1 species
GGGCAGUGAUUGGAAAUGUCAUGCACCACUCUUACGAGAUGAUCCUCCCGUAUGAUGAUAAUGACUCAUACCCAUAUGAUUUCUGAGCCC